rnacentral:rRNA from 1 species
GUUACUCAGAACCGAAUUUCAGUUCCACUUAAAAUUUACCAUAAGAAACAAUACUCCAACAUGUAAAUUUUAAUGUUAGUCUAAAGGGGGACAGCCCUUUAGAUACGGAUACAACCUUGCAUAGAGAGUAAAAUAACCCACACAGCCAUAGUUGGCCUAAAAGCAGCCACCAAUUAAGAAAGCGUUCAAGCUCAACCGUACCAACUUCUAAAUCACAAAAACCGACAUGACCUCCUAUAGCACAAACUGAGUUAAUCUAUUCACAAAUAGAUGAGUUAAUGUUAAUAUUAGUAACAAGAAAAAAUUCUCCAAGCACAAACUUAUAUCAGACCGAAUGAAUCACUGAUAGUUAACAUAUUCAUAGGAAAAAAACAAAAACAAGCCCAACCUAUAAAACGCAAUGUUAACCCAACACAGGAGUGCUAUUAAGGAAAGAUUAAAAGAAGUAAAAGGAACUCGGCAAACAAAAACCCCGCCUGUUUACCAAAAACAUCACCUCUAGCAUUACAACUAUUAGAGGCACCGCCUGCCCAGUGACAAUUGUUAAACGGCCGCGGUAUCCUG